GAUGAACGCUGGCGGCGUGCUUAACACAUGCAAGUCGAGCGAAGCACUUUGGAAAGAUUCUUCGGAUGAUUUCCUUUGUGACUGAGCGGCGGACGGGUGAGUAACGCGUGGGUAACCUGCCUCAUACAGGGGGAUAACAGUUAGAAAUGACUGCUAAUACCGCAUAAGACCACGGUACCGCAUGGUACAGUGGUAAAAACUCCGGUGGUAUGAGAUGGACCCGCGUCUGAUUAGGUAGUUGGUGGGGUAACGGCCUGCCAAGCCGACGAUCAGUAGCCGACCUGAGAGGGUGACCGGCCACAUUGGGACUGAGACACGGCCCAGACUCCUACGGGAGGCAGCAGUGGGGAAUAUUGCACAAUGGAGGAAACUCUGAUGCAGCGACGCCGCGUGAAGGAUGAAGUAUUUCGGUAUGUAAACUUCUAUCAGCAGGGAAGAAAAUGACGGU
rnacentral:rRNA from 1 species